rnacentral:rRNA from 2 species
GAGUUUGAUCCUGGCUCAGAACGAACGCUGGCGGCAGGCUUAACACAUGCAAGUCGAGCGCACAGUUUACUGUGAGCGGCAGACGGGUGAGUAACGCGUGGGAAUCUACCUUGAGCUACGGGAUAACAGAGAGAAAUUUCUGCUAAUACCGUAUGUGGCCUUUGGGCGAAAGAUUUAUCGGCUUAAGAUGAGCCCGCGUUGGAUUAGCUGGUUGGUGGGGUAAAGGCCUACCAAGGCGACGAUCCAUAGCUGGUCUGAGAGGAUGAUCAGCCACACUGGGACUGAGACGCGGCCCAGACUCCUACGGGAGGCAGCAGUGGGGAAUAUUGGACAAUGGGCGCAAGCCUGAUCCAGCCAUGCCGCGUGAGUGAAGAAGGCCUUAGGGUUGUAAAGCUCUUUCACCGGUGAAGAUAAUGACGGUAGCCGGAGAAGAAGCCCCGGCUAACUUCGUGCCAGCAGCCGCGGUAAUACGAAGGGGGCUAGCGUUGUUCGGAUUUACUGGGCGUAAAGCGCGCGUAGGCGGAUAGAUAAGUCAGAGGUGAAAUCCCGGGGCUCAACCCCGGAAUUGCCUUCGAUACUGUUUAUCUUGAGUGCAGAAGAGGUAAGUGGAAUUCCGAGUGUAGAGGUGAAAUUCGUAGAUAUUCGGAGGAACACCAGUGGCGAAAGCGGCUUACUGGUCUGCAACUGACGCUGAGCGCGAAAGCGUGGGGAGCAAACAGG